CAGCCGGUUCGGGCCGUGAGCUGGGGGCCGGGGCGCGUCGCAGACGAUGAAACUGAGGCACACAGAGGUUAAAGAACUUGCCCAAGUCACAUAGCUGGAAAUGACUUAGAAGCCUUACAAAUACAUCUGUGCAUUCUUGCUUCAGACUUUACAAUUGAGGGCCAACCCAGUCUGGAAGCACCUCUUAUUAAUGUUUUAAGGAAACUGCUACCUCAGCAAACAAAAGAAAAGAAGGAGAGGACUUAUAAUAAAUGCCAUUUUAAAAAAAAAAAAACACUUGUUUUCAGAAAAUAUUAAAGGAAAUUUUUCGCAUUGAGAAGACGCUUUACAGGUAAAUGGAUUUGGCAGGCAGGCUCUGUCAAAAUUCUGCAGAGAUUUGAUCUUCCUUACUGAGGACUUAGUGUGAAGUAAUUCUGUACUGCUUUUUAAAUUGCUGUUGAUCAGCUUGUGGGUUUUGGGGUUCUAACUUUUCUGGUAUAUUG